CGGCCCCGGCCCCAGCCCGCCCCCGCGGGGGUGGUGGCGUCUCGGAGGCCGCGGCGGGGCGGCAGGAUGGAGCCGGGAGGCCGCGCUGCCUGUGCGCCCGCCGCCGGCUCUGUGCAGCCCUGCGGCAGAGGCGCUUCCCAGCCCGGGCAGGAGGAGCUCCGCUGCCCGAAGGAGUUUUGGGAGGAGAUUUGGGUACAAAAACGGCAACCGGAGAAACGCUCCCGUGUUUGUCCGCGGCUUCGGAGGCGGCCGUAUGCCGGCGCCUCCCGACCCUGCCGGCGGCCUCGUGCGCCCAAAGCGAGGCAGUCAAACGCCUGCUUGGUUGUGCAGGUUUUUGCACUGUUGUCUCAGCUCAACAGAAAAAAGGUAGGUUGAUGCUGGGAAAAGCUAAGCACUUGCCUACACAGUGACCAGAACCUGAACUCUGCUCUCCCAGGCCUGUGCUCAGCCUGGAACGCUGCUGUCUUCAAUCACAGAUACGUAUCUAGUCUAGAGAGUCUCCGAGCAGCAGACGAGCGGAAGCUGGGAGGCUAGGUGCAGCUUCCCCUGUACCCGUAGUGACCUCCGGUUACAUAGAUGAUUUCAUGCAGGACACAGGCGGUGGCGUUUCCAACUCCUGUACACAGUAUUGAAGUCACAACAACCUUCAGGCUCCACAAAAUACUCUCUGC